rnacentral:RNase_P_RNA from 1 species
GAAGCAGAUCGGGCAUUUGCUCAUUUGUCUGGUAACAGGCAGAUAGAGAGGAAAGUCCGGGCUCCAUAUGGCAGCGUAGCGGGUAACACCCGCCCACCGUGAGGUGAGGAUCAGAGCAACAGAGACGAGUCUUUCCGCUUUUGGCGGGGAGGGUGAAACGGGCAAUCUCUACGCGGAGCAAGGCCAAAUAGGAAGGGAACCAGAAAAGUCCGGUGACGUGCGGACAGACUGGUACGAGGCGGCUAGUCUCGUCAACACUUUCGGGUAGGCUGCAAGGAGACCGUCAGCAAUGACGGUCCAAGAUGGAUAAAUGCCACCCCUUUGGGGAGACAGAACCCGGCUUAUAGAUCUGCUUCAGUG